UGUGGCCGCAAGGGGGGGGCGGUGGCUCCGCAGGGCCUCCGGAGUAGCAGGUGUUUCUGUGGUUACCGCUUGUUUACGCUGUAAACAGCCCAUUUCCUGAGGACCAGUCCCUCCCUCUGCCAUCCAUCUCCAACUUCAAGAAAAAGUAGCUAGCACCCCAAAUCAUUCCGCUCUUACUGCCUCCCAGAUUUUCUUUGUAAAGACAAGUUUGUAUCUGAGCAAUUUAAAAGUGAGUGGAGGUUUUAGGAUCCCCGGAGGCAAAAUUGCUUCAGGGCUGCGCCUCCCACCUGACCCCAAGUGCAAGAAGGUCCUUUGAAGUCUAGACAAGAAGUCAUCCAUUCCUCUCCUGGUCAACAGGUCUACACAUGACAACUGCAAGGUGACCCAGCUGAUGUGAUGGCGAUUGUUUAUCUUGGAAGAUAGUAUUAACUAACACCACCUUAAUGGAAGAUCAAUCAGGCCACAUGAUCCUUCCAAUCCCAGGCCAUCCUGAAAAGCCCUCCCCCCAAGAAUCCCUGUAGAAGCCCGCCUCCGGCUCAGUCCUCCAUGGCUGCUUCUCCCCAGCAGAGGCAGCCACCCUCUUGUGUCUCUCCCAAUAAAUCUCUUGAGUGAGGUUUGUUGUUA